AGUCGAGCGAACAGACGAGGAGCUUGCUCCUCUGACGUUAGCGGCGGACGGGUGAGUAGCACGUGGAUAACCUACCUAUAAGACUGGGAUAGCUUCGGGAAACCGGAGCUAAUACCGGAUAAUAUAUUGAACCGCAUGGUCCAAUAGUGAAAGACGGUUUUGCUGUCACUUAUAGAUGGAUCCGCGCCGCAUUAGCUAGUUGGUAAGGUAACGGCUUACCAAGACAACGAUGCGUAGCCGACCUGAGAGGGUGAUCGGCCACACUGGAACUGAGACACGGUCCAGACUCCUACGGGAGGCAGCAGUAAGGAAUCUUCCGCAAUGGGCGAAAGCCUGACGGAGCAACGCCGCGUGAGUGAUGAAGGUCUUCGGAUCGUAAAACUCUGCUACUAGGGAAGAACAAAUGUGUAAGUAACUAUGCACGUCUUGACGGUACCUAAUCAGAAAGCCACGGCUAACUACGUGCCAGCAGCCGCGGUAAUACGUAGGUGGCAAGCGUUAUCCGGAAUUAUUGGGCGUAAAGCGCGCGUAGGUGGUUUUUUAAGUCUGAUAUGAAAGCCCACGGCUCAACCGUGGAGGGUCAUUGGAAACUGGAAAACUUGAGUGCAGAAGAGGAAAGUGGAAUUCCAUGUGUAGCGGUGAAAUGCGCAGAGAUAUGGAGGAACACCAGUGGCGAAGGCGACUUUCUGGUCUGUAACUGACGCUGAUGUGCGAAAGCGUGGAGAUCAAACAGGAUUAGAUACCCUGGUAGUCCACGCCGUAAACGAUGAGUGCUAAGUGUUAAGGGGCUUCCGCCCCUUAGUGCUGCAGCUAACGCAUUAAGCACUCCGCCUGGGGAGUACGACCGCAAGGCUGAAACUCAAUGGAAUUGACGGGGACCCGCACAAGCGGUGGAGCAUGUG
rnacentral:rRNA from 1 species